ensembl:lncRNA
AUUUCCCUUUCUCUUUCUUCCUGCCUAUAUUGCCAAGAGAAGUAGCUCUUCAGUCACCAGGAAGAGCCAUUCUGCAAGAUGUAAGGUGACAUCUCACUGCGAUUUUGAUUAGCAUUUCCGCAGCCAUGAAAUUAAAAGACGCUUACUCCUUGGAAGGAAAGUUAUGACCAAACUAGAUAGCAUAUUCAAAAGCAGAGACAUUACUUUGCCAACAGAGGUUCGUCUAGUCAAGGCUAUGGUUUUUCCUGUGGUCAUGUAUGGAUGUGAGAGUUGGACUGUGAAGAAGGUGAGCGCCAAAGAAUUGAUGCUUUUGAACUGUGGUGUUGGAGAAGACUCUUGAGAGUCCCUUGGACUGCAAGGAGAUCUAACCAGUCCAUUCUAAAGGAGAUCAGCCCUGGGAUUUCUUUGGAAAGAAUGAUGCUAAAGCUGAAACUCCAGUACUUUGGCCACCUCAUGCAAAGAGUUGACUCAUUGGAAAAGACUAUGAUGCUGGGAGGGACUGGGGGCAGGAGGAGAAGGGGACGACAGAGGAUGAGAUGGCUGGAUGGCAUCACU